rnacentral:rRNA from 1 species
UACGUAGGGACCGAGCGUUGUCCGGAUUCAUUGGGCGUAAAGAGCUCGUAGGCGGCCACUCAAGUCGAAUGUGAAACCUCGAGGCUUAACCUCGAGCCUGCAUUCGAUACUGGGCGGCUAGAGUCUGGUAGGGGGAUCUGGAAUUCCAGGUGUAGCGGUGAAAUGCGUAGAUAUCUGGAGGAAUACCGGUGGCGAAGGCGGCAUCCUGGACCAUUACUGACGCUGAAUCGCGAAAGCUAGGGGAGCAAACGGG